UUUUCUAAUUUUACUUGCCGAUAAGAUGAAGAUACGAAAUAUCCACUACAGAUUAUUAUUACAAAAGCAGUUACCAGAUAGCGUCCAAUCUAAUCUUCGUACUCAUCACCAGGUAUAAAUAUCCAUGGCGUACGUCGUAAGAGGUGUAUUUAUUUUUUUCUAAUAUAAAUCUCCGUGAUGUACUUCAAAAUUUUGUUAGCGACCGUUACACUAUUCUUAUGGAGUUUUUCUUCAUCAGAGGCUCUAAACUGUAUAAAUUGCCAUGGCAGUUCAGCUGCUUGUCGAAAGGGAAGUGUUACUUACACACAACCAUGUACGGCGAAUGGUUCGUAUUCUGAAGCGUUCUGUUUCUCGGCGGAAACGGUAAACGGUUACGUUUUAAGAGGGUGCGCUUCUAAGCAAGGGACAGGUACGUUGUGCGAGAUUUUAGAAAGGUUCAAUAGGGCAUACACUAAUUGCAAGUCAUGUUCACGUGAUAUGUGUAAUUCAUUUAAUUACGGAAGCUAGACAUUUUCUCCUUAGCCUGAUGUAGUGACUGUAUUUUGAACUAAGAUCACCUAAAUAAAACUAAUGACGUGGUCUUG